UGAAAACUGAUCAGCUAGAGUACGAGAGAUGUGAAGGGAACUCCAUGUGUAGCGGUGAAAUGCGUAGAUAUAUGGAAGAACACCAGUGGCGAAGGCGCUUCACAAGCUCGAAACUGACGCUCAGUCACGAAAGCGUGGGUAGCAAAUAGGAUUAGAUACCCUAGUAGUCCACGCUGUAAACUAUGAGAACUAAAUAUUGCCGCGAGGCAGUGUUGAAGCUAACGCAUUAAGUUCUCCGCCUGGGGAGUACGGUCGCAAGACUGAAACUUAAAGGAAUUGACGGGGGCCCGCACAAGCAGUGGAGCAUGUGGAUUAAUUCGACGCAACGCGAAGAACCUUACCAAGAUUUGACAUGGGAACUAAAGCCCUAGAAAUAGGGUCAUAUCAGGUCUACACAGGUGGUGCAUGGUUGUCGUCAGCUCGUGUCGUGAGAUGUUGGGUUAAGUCCCGCAACGAGCGCAAC
rnacentral:rRNA from 1 species